GACGAACGCUGGCGGCGUGCCUAAUACAUGCCAGUAGAACGCUGAAGGAGGAGCUUGCUUCUCUGGAUGAGUUGCGAACGGGUGAGUAACGCGUAGGUAACCUGCCUGGUAGCGGGGGAUAACUAUUGGAAACGAUAGCUAAUACCGCAUAAUAGCAGUUGUUGCAUGACAACUGUUUGAAAGGUGCAAUUGCACCACUACCAGAUGGACCUGCGUUGUAUUAGCUAGUUGGUGGGGUAACGGCUCACCAAGGCGACGAUACAUAGCCGACCUGCGAGGGUGAUCGGCCACACUGGGACUGGGACACGGCCCAGACUCCUACGGGAGGCAGCAGUAGGGAAUCUUCGGCAAUGGACGGAAGUCUGACCGAGCAACGCCGCGUGAGGGAAGAAGGUUUUCGGAUCGUAAAGCUCUGUUGUAAGAGAAGAACGAGUGUGAGAGUGGAAAGUUCACACUGUGACGGUAUCUUACCAGAAAGGGACGGCUAACUACGUG
rnacentral:rRNA from 1 species